rnacentral:rRNA from 1 species
UGUAAGCGUAUACCAAAGUUGUUGCAGUUAAAACGCUCGUAGUCGGAAUUUGGCAGUUCCGGAAGUGUGCACGUCGUGUGCGCACUUUGCGGGGACUGCUUUUGUGGUCUUGCGUAGGAUGAGGCACUUUCAUUAGUGAACGUCCUCACGCAACCACUCUUUACUGUGAGAAAAUCAGAGUGCUCAAAGCAGGCAAUUGCCGUGAAUGUAUUAGCAUGGAAUAAUAGAAUAGGACUCGGUUCUAUUUUGUUGGUUUGUUGGGACUGAGUAAUGAUUAAGAGGGACAGUUGGGGGCAUUUGUAUUCCGGCGCUAGAGGUGAAAUUCUUAGAUUGCCGGAAGACAAACUGCUGCGAAAGCGUCUGCCAAGGAUGUUUUCAUUGA